CCUACGGGAGGCAGCAGUAAGGAAUAUUGGACAAUGGCCGAAAGGCUGAUCCAGCCAUCCAGCGUGCAGGAAGAAGGCCCUAUGGGUUGUAAACUGCUUUUAUCAGGGAAUAAACCUCUGGAUUCACUCCGGAGCUGAAGGUACCUGAAGAAUAAGCACCGGCUAACUCCGUGCCAGCAGCCGCGGUAAUACGGAGGGUGCGAGCGUUAUCCGGAAUUACUGGGUUUAAAGGGUGCGUAGGCGGCUUUGUAAGUCAGGAGUGAAAGUUUGCAGCUCAACUGUAAAAUUGCUUUUGAUACUGCGAGGCUAGAAUUAGGAUGAGGUCAGCGGAAUGUGGCAUGUAGCGGUGAAAUGCAUAGAUAUGCCAUAGAACACCAAUUGCGAAGGCAGCUGGCUAGACCUGGAUUGACGCUGAGGCACGAAAGCGUGGGGAGCGAACAGGAUUAGAUACCCUGGUAGUCCACGCCCUAAACGAUGCUUACUCGACGUAUGGCACUAGUUGUUGUGCGUCCAAGGGAAACCGUUAAGUAAGCCACCUGGGGAGUACGACCGCAAGGUUGAAACUCAAA
rnacentral:rRNA from 1 species